rnacentral:rRNA from 1 species
UACGAAGGGGGCUAGCGUUGUUCGGAAUCACUGGGCGUAAAGCGCACGUAGGCGGCUUCUUAAGUCGGGGGUGAAAUCCUGAGGCUCAACCUCAGAACUGCCUUCGAUACUGGGGAUCUUGAGUUCGGAAGAGGUUGGUGGAACAGCUAGUGUAGAGGUGAAAUUCGUAGAUAUUAGCUAGAACACCAGUGGCGAAGGCGGCCAACUGGUCCGACACUGACGCUGAGGUGCGAAAGCGUGGGGAGCAAACAGG